rnacentral:rRNA from 1 species
UACAGAGGUCUCAAGCGUUGUUCGGAUUCAUUGGGCGUAAAGGGUGUGUAGGUGGCGCGCUAAGUCGGGUGUGAAAUUUCGGAGCUUAACUCCGAAACUGCAUUCGAUACUGGCGUGCUUGAGGACUGGAGAGGAGACUGGAAUUAUGGUGUAGCAGUGAAAUGCGUAGAGAUCAUGAGGAAGACCAGUGGCGAAGGCGGGUCUCUGGACAGUUCCUGACACUGAGGAGCGAAAGC